UGCGGCCGGGCUGUUAAUCACGCCCAAGUAGGCGUGUUUAGGACGGGAGGGGCGUGAUUUCAGCCCUGGCCACGGUGACUAAAUAGGAAUGCAGCACCGCCCAAUGGACUACUUACAGAAAUUAACAUACAGCGCGGGACAUUUUAUAAGUUGAUUUUCGGAGCGUUUCAUUCAUUGCCAUGCACUACAGAAACAUGCUACUCCAUUACCGUACCAGAAGGCUCUUGGGAUCGGGGGGAACCAAGCUGCAGGACCUCACUGUACUCUAUGUACGCUAACAGAUGUUGUGCUCUCAGCGCAACACCACAGGUUUCUCAGUCAUUCACAGUUCAGCAGUAACAAUGAAGAUGUGGUGAAGAUCUGCCUGUGGAUGCACACAAAAAAAUGUGCGGCCAACUGCAGAAUCAAAAGAACAGAUGCUGGAAUGCGCCAUUAGUAGAGCGAUGACAUUUUUCCAUUACUAUGGGAAACUAUGGGAUACAGUUCCAAUCCACAAUGCAUCUACAAUGCAACCUGAUUGUGUGGUUCCAUCUUAGCAUCCAAGAAUCAUACAUUCAUCGCUUAUCCUGCAGAAGUAAGAAAUGUUAAUAGGAAUAUCCCUUUAGCAUAUCUAUUCCUCCCCCUCUACAUCAAAUAAUCUAUAAAAUUCUCUUUACUGCAUAUUUAAAUGUUUUAUCCUCAGUAAGGCUGCUUUCACACUAUAAAAAUACCUCCGUUG